rnacentral:miRNA from 1 species
ACCUUGCCUUGCUGCCCGGGCC